GAUGAACGCUGGCGGCGUGCCUAAUACAUGCAAGUCGAGCGAACAGACGAGGAGCUUGCUCCUCUGACGUUAGCGGCGGACGGGUGAGUAACACGUGGAUAACCUACCUAUAAGACUGGGAUAACUUCGGGAAACCGGAGCUAAUACCGGAUAAUAUAUUGAACCGCAUGGUUCAAUAGUGAAAGACGGUUUUGCUGUCACUUAUAGAUGGAUCCGCGCCGCAUUAGCUAGUUGGUAAGGUAACGGCUUACCAAGGCAACGAUGCGUAGCCGACCUGAGAGGGUGAUCGGCCACACUGGAACUGAGACACGGUCCAGACUCCUACGGGAGGCAGCAGUAGGGAUUCUUCCGCAAUGGGCGAAAGCUUGACGGAGCAACGCCGCGUGAGUGAUGAAGGUCUUCGGAUCGUAAAACUCUGUUAUUAGGGAAGAACAAAUGUGUAAGUAACUAUGCACGUCUUGACGGUACCUAAUCAGAAAGCCACGGCUAACUACGUG
rnacentral:rRNA from 1 species